CGGCCGGGGCCUUCUUGGCCACAGGCCGGGUGCUCUGUGGGGCCUACCCUACGCCUCUCCGCCGUCCUCCCCCGAACUGGUGGUUACGCGGGCCGCGAGUUACCGUGAGCACGGCUGGGAUGCUGACGGGGAAAGAGCUGACAGAGAAGGCGGACGGCAUGGUGUUGGGAAGCCCGCUCUCACAGCAACCGCCGAACCCGGCCUGGCCAGAAUCCACAGAGGAGGGCGCCAAAUCCUCUCUCGUGAGAUCUGCCCUUCUCACGAAACUUGCGCUUGCUUCCUCUCGCGGUCCCAGCAGGCAGCUGAUUGUUUAGAUGGAGAGACCACAGGGGAGAGUUACCUGUUGCUGUGGGAGCAAUGAGGAGUUAUGGAGGAAAGGAGAGGUACCAAGACCAGACCAAAUCCCUGAUGGCUGGUGUGGCCAGGCAUGUAGUGGAGGCUGGCCCUGGAGAGAAGAGGAACAGAAACUGAUUUUAAUCUCAAGGGGCUGAAGCUGGAGCUCCACAUGUGACCCCCAGAAGCACGGGACCCCAUCCGGGACGCCGCUGUGCAUGCAGCUGUCACAUCUCCCUGGACCCCCCUCUGCUGGCAGUUUCUCAGAUUUUCCUUGUUUUCGAUGACUGGGAUAGUUUUGAAGAGUAAUGGUCAGGCAUGCUGUAGAAUUUCUCUCAGUUGGGGUUUUUCUGAUGAUCUGAUUGGGAUUAUGGAAUUUGGGGAAGAAGACCAUAGAAGUAAAGUGCUAUUUUUAUUA
rnacentral:lncRNA from 1 species